rnacentral:rRNA from 1 species
CUGGCUCAGAUUGAACGCUGGCGGCAUGCUUUACACAUNCAGUCGAACGGUAACAGGAGCUUGCUCCGCUGACGAGUGGCGAACGGGUGAGUAAUAUAUCGGAACGUACCUUUGAGUGGGGGAUAACUAGUCGAAAGAUUAGCUAAUACCGCAUACGAUCUACGGAUGAAAGUGGGGGAUCGCAAGACCUCAUGCUCAUAGAGCGGCCGAUAUCUGAUUAGCUAGUUGGUGAGGUAAAGGCUCACCAAGGCAUCGAUCAGUAGCUGGUCUGAGAGGACGACCAGCCACACUGGGACUGAGACACGGCCCAGACUCCUACGGGAGGCAGCAGUGGGGAAUUUUGGACAAUGGGGGCAACCCUGAUCCAGCAAUGCCGCGUGAGUGAAGAAGGCCUUCGGGUUGUAAAGCUCUUUUGUCAGGGAAGAAACGGGAUGUCCUAAUACGAUGUCCUAAUGACGGUACUGAAGAAUAAGAC